AGAGUUUGAUCCUGGCUCAGGACGAACGCUGGCGGCGUGCUUAACACAUGCAAGUCGAGCGAUGAAGCUUCCUUCGGGAAGUGGAUUAGCGGCGGACGGGUGAGUAACACGUGGGUAACCUGCCUCAAAGUGGGGGAUAGCCUUCCGAAAGGAAGAUUAAUACCGCAUAAUAUAAGAGAAUCGCAUGAUUUUUUUAUCAAAGAUUUAUUGCUUUGAGAUGGACCCGCGGCGCAUUAGCUAGUUGGUAAGGUAACGGCUUACCAAGGCAACGAUGCGUAGCCGACCUGAGAGGGUGAUCGGCCACAUUGGAACUGAGACACGGUCCAGACUCCUACGGGAGGCAGCAGUGGGGAAUAUUGCGCAAUGGGGGAAACCCUGACGCAGCAACGCCGCGUGGGUGAUGAAGGUCUUCGGAUUGUAAAGCCCUGUUUUCUAGGACGAUAAUGACGGUACUAGAGGAGGAAGCCACGGCUAACUACGUGCCAGCAGCCGCGGUAAUACGUAGGUGGCGAGCGUUGUCCGGAUUUACUGGGCGUAAAGGGUGCGUAGGCGGAUGUUUAAGUGGGAUGUGAAAUCCCCGGGCUUAACCUGGGGGCUGCAUUCCAAACUGGAUAUCUAGAGUGCAGGAGAGGAAAGCGGAAUUCCUAGUGUAGCGGUGAAAUGCGUAGAGAUUAGGAAGAACACCAGUGGCGAAGGCGGCUUUCUGGACUGUAACUGACGCUGAGGCACGAAAGCGUGGGUAGCAAACAGGAUUAGAUACCCUGGUAGUCCACGCCGUAAACGAUGGAUACUAGGUGUAGGGGGUAUCAACUCCCCCUGUGCCGCAGUUAACACAAUAAGUAUCCCGCCUGGGGAGUACGGUCGCAAGAUUAAAACUCAAAGGAAUUGACGGGGGCCCGCACAAGCAGCGGAGCAUGUGGUUUAAUUCGAAGCAACGCGAAGAACCUUACCUGGACUUGACAUCCCUUGCAUAGCCUAGAGAUAGGUGAAGCCCUUCGGGGCAAGGAGACAGGUGGUGCAUGGUUGUCGUCAGCUCGUGUCGUGAGAUGUUAGGUUAAGUCCUGCAACGAGCGCAACCCUUGUUAUUAGUUGCUACCAUUAAGUUGAGCACUCUAAUGAGACUGCCUGGGUAACCAGGAGGAAGGUGGGGAUGACGUCAAAUCAUCAUGCCCCUUAU
rnacentral:rRNA from 1 species